ACCAGACUCCUACGGGAGGCAGCAGUGAGGAAUAUUGGUCAAUGGUCGGGAGACUGAACCAGCCAAGCCGCGUGGAGGAUGAAGGUUUUAGGAUUGUAAACUCCUUUUGUUAGAGAAGAUUAUGACGGUAUCUAACGAAUAAGCACCGGCUAACUCCGUGCCAGCAGCCGCGGUAAUACGGAGGGUGCAAGCGUUACUCGGAAUCACUGGGCGUAAAGAGUGCGUAGGCGGGGUAAUAAGUCAGAUGUGAAAUCCUGUAGCUUAACUACAGAACUGCAUUUGAAACUGUUACUCUGGAGUGUGGGAGAGGUAGGUGGAAUUCUUGGUGUAGGGGUAAAAUCCGUAGAGAUCAAGAGGAAUACUCAUUGCGAAGGCGACCUGCUGGAACAUUACUGACGCUGAUGCACGAAAGCGUGGGGAGCAAACAGGAUUAGAUACCCCUGUAGA
rnacentral:rRNA from 1 species